GUCCACGCCGUAAACGUUGGGUGCUAGGUGUCGCGGGUAUUGACCCCUGCGGUGCCGCCGCUAACGCAUUAAGCACCCCGCCUGGGGAGUACGGUCGCAAGGCUAAACUCAAAGGAAUUGACGGGGGCCCGGCCACAAGCGGUGGAGCAUGUGGUUUAAUUCGAAGCAACGCGCAGAACCUUACCUGGGCUUGACAUCCUCGGAACCUCCCGGAAACGGGAGGGUGCCUUCGGAGCCGAGAGACAGGUGCUGCAUGGCUGUCGU
rnacentral:rRNA from 1 species